rnacentral:lncRNA from 1 species
GGAGCUGGCAGCCCCAGGAGCCCUGAAGGAGCCACUGACCCCAGAGAGAGCCCUGCGGGAGGCAGCGACGUGUGUGUGGGAUCCAGCCCGGCCACCAUCUCCUUCCCCUUCUACACCUGGGUUGAGCCAUGCCACAGGUGCACAGAGAAGGGGUGAGCACCUGUGCCACCGCUCAGCCUCUUCCCUGCCCCCAAGCACUGUGCCCGGCCUCCAGCAGCAGCAGCAGCACACGGCGCUGGGGAUCCUGCACCACAUCCAGCGCUGCCUGCGGGAGCUGCAAGUAGAGGACCUCGGUGUGCUGGGAGCAGAGCUGGGCACCACAGCAAAUGAGGAGAGGUUCCUGAUGCCACCUCUUGACAUUCCUCCAAGCCCCAACAGGAACAAGCUCGCUGCUGCGACCAGGACUCGAGAUGAAGCAUGGAGGUGGUGAUGCAUCCCUCUACCUCCCUAUGCAU